CGCGUCCGAUUAGCUAGUUGGUGUGGUAAUGGCGCACCAAGGCGACGAUCGGUAGCUGGUCUGAGAGGAUGAUCAGCCACAUUGGGACUGAGACACGGCCCAAACUCCUACGGGAGGCAGCAGUGGGGAAUAUUGGACAAUGGGCGCAAGCCUGAUCCAGCCAUGCCGCGUGAGUGAUGAAGGCCUUAGGGUUGUAAAGCUCUUUCGCCCACGACGAUAAUGACGGUAGUGGGAGAAGAAGCCCCGGCUAACUUCGUGCCAGCAGCCGCGGUAAUACGAAGGGGGCUAGCGUUGUUCGGAAUUACUGGGCGUAAAGCGCGUGUAGGCGGGUCCUUAAGUCAGGGGUGAAAUGCCGAGGCUCAACCUCGGAACUGCCUUUGAUACUGGGGAUCUUGAGUCCGGGAGAGGUGAGUGGAACUGCGAGUGUAGAGGUGAAAUUCGUAGAUAUUCGCAAGAACACCAGUGGCGAAGGCGGCUCACUGGCCCGGAACUGACGCUGAGACGCGAAAGCGUGGGGAGCAAACAGGAUUAGAUACCCUGGUAGUCCACGCUGUAAACGAUGGAUGCUAGCCGUUGGGGAGCUUGCUCUUCAGUGGCGCAGCUAACGCCUUAAGCUCCCGCC
rnacentral:rRNA from 1 species